AAAAAAGGUAAGCUACUAAGAGCGAAUGGUGGAUGCCUUGACUGGUAAAGGCGAUGAAGGACGUACUAGACUGCGAUAAGCUACGGGGAGCUGUCAAGAAGCUUUGAUCCGUAGAUUUCCGAAUGGGGCAACCCAAUGUAUAGAGAUAUACAUUACCUAUAUAGGAGCGAACGAGGGGAAUUGAAACAUCUUAGUACCCUCAGGAAAAGAAAUCAAUAGAGAUUGCGUCAGUAGCGGCGAGCGAAAGCGCAAGAGGGCAAACCCAGUGCUUGCACUGGGGGUUGUAGGACUGCAAUGUGCAAGAGGUAAGUUUAGCAGAACAUUCUGGAAAGUAUAACCAUAGAGGGUGAUAGUCCCGUAUGCGAAAAACAAACCUUAGCUAGCAGUAUCCUGAGUAGGGCGGGACACGAGGAAUCCUGUCUGAAUCCGGGUCGACCACGAUCCAACCCUAAAUACUAAUACCAGAUCGAUAGUGCACAAGUACCGUGAGGGAAAGGUGAAAAGAACUGAGGUGAUCAGAGUGAAAUAGAACCUGAAACCAUUUGCUUACAAUCAUUCAGAGCCCUAUGUAGCAAUACAGGGUGAUGGACUGCCUUUUGCAUAAUGAGCCUGCGAGUUGUGGUGUCUGGCAAGGUUAAGCAAACGCGAAGCCGUAGCGAAAGCGAGUCUGAAUAGGGCGCUUAGUCAGAUGCUGCAGACCCGAAACGAAGUGAUCUAUCCAUGAGCAAGUUGAAGCUAGUGUAAGAACUAGUGGAGGACUGAACCCAUAGGCGUUGAAAAGCCCCGGGAUGACUUGUGGAUAGGGGUGAAAGGCCAAUCAAACUUCGUGAUAGCUGGUUCUCUCCGAAAUAUAUUUAGGUAUAGCGUUGUGUCGUAAUAUAAGGGGGUAGAGCACUGAAUGGGCUAGGGCAUACACCAAUGUACCAAACCCUAUCAAACUCCGAAUACCUUAUAUGUAAUCACAGCAGUCAGGCGGCGAGUGAUAAAAUCCGUCGUCAAGAGGGAAACAACCCAGACUACCAGCUAAGGUCCCUAAAUCUUACUUAAGUGGAAAACGAUGUGAAGUUACUUAAACAACCAGGAGGUUGGCUUAGAAGCAGCCAUCCUUUAAAGAAAGCGUAAUAGCUCACUGGUCUAGUGAUUUUGCGCGGAAAAUAUAACGGGGCUAAAGUAAGUACCGAAGCUGUAGACUUAGUUUACUAAGUGGUAGGAGAGCGUUCUAUUUGCGUCGAAGGUAUACCGGUAAGGAGUGCUGGAGCGAAUAGAAGUGAGCAUGCAGGCAUGAGUAGCGAUAAUUAAUGUGAGAAUCAUUAACGCCGUAAACCCAAGGUUUCCUACGCGAUGCUCGUCAUCGUAGGGUUAGUCGGGUCCUAAGUCGAGUCCGAAAGGGGUAGACGAUGGCAAAUUGGUUAAUAUUCCAAUACCAACAUUAGUGUGCGAUGGAAGGACGCUUAGGGCUAAGGGGGCUAGCGGAUGGAAGUGCUAGUCUAAGGUCGUAGGAGGUUGUACAGGCAAAUCCGUAUAACAAUACUCCGAGAACUGAAAGGCUUUUUGAAGUCUUCGGAUGGAUAGAAGAACCCCUGAUGCCGUCGAGCCAAGAAAAGUUUCUAAGUUUAGCUAAUGUUGCCCGUACCGUAAACCGACACAGGUGGGUGGGAUGAGUAUUCUAAGGCGCGUGGAAGAACUCUCUUUAAGGAACUCUGCAAAAUAGCACCGUAUCUUCGGUAUAAGGUGUGGUUAGCUUUGUAUUAGGAUUUACUCCGAAAGCAAGGAAACUUACAACAAAGAGUCCCUCCCGACUGUUUACCAAAAACACAGCACUCUGCUAACUCGUAAGAGGAUGUAUAGGGUGUGACGCCUGCCCGGUGCUCGAAGGUUAAUUGAUGGGGUUAGCAUUAGCGAAGCUCUUGAUCGAAGCCCGAGUAAACGGCGGCCGUAACUAUAACGGUCCUAAGGUAGCGAAAUUCCUUGUCGGUUAAAUACCGACCUGCAUGAAUGGCGUAACGAGAUGGGAGCUGUCUCAAAGAGGGAUCCAGUGAAAUUGUAGUGGAGGUGAAAAUUCCUCCUACCCGCGGCAAGACGGAAAGACCCCGUGGACCUUUACUACAGCUUGACACUGCUACUUGGAUAAGAAUGUGCAGGAUAGGUGGGAGGCUUUGAGUAUAUGACGCCAGUUGUAUAUGAGCCAUUGUUGAGAUACCACUCUUUCUUAUUUGGGUAGCUAACCAGCUUGAGUUAUCCUCAAGUGGGACAAUGUCUGGUGGGUAGUUUGACUGGGGCGGUCGCCUCCCAAAUAAUAACGGAGGCUUACAAAGGUUGGCUCAGAACGGUUGGAAAUCGUUCGUAGAGUAUAAAGGUAUAAGCCAGCUUAACUGCAAGACAUACAAGUCAAGCAGAGACGAAAGUCGGUCUUAGUGAUCCGGUGGUUCUGUGUGGAAGGGCCAUCGCUCAAAGGAUAAAAGGUACCCCGGGGAUAACAGGCUGAUCUCCCCAAGAGCUCACAUCGACGGGGAGGUUUGGCACCUCGAUGUCGGCUCAUCGCAUCCUGGGGCUGGAGCAGGUCCCAAGGGUAUGGCUGUUCGCCAUUUAAAGCGGUACGCGAGCUGGGUUCAGAACGUCGUGAGACAGUUCGGUCCCUAUCUGCCGUGGGCGUAAGAAGAUUGAAGAGAUUUGACCCUAGUACGAGAGGACCGGGUUGAACAAACCACUGGUGUAGCUGUUGUUCUGCCAAGAGCAUCGCAGCGUAGCUAAGUUUGGAAAGGAUAAACGCUGAAAGCAUCUAAGCGUGAAGCCAACUCUAAGAUGAAUCUUCUCUAAGCUCUCUAGAAGACUACUAGUUUGAUAGGCUGGGUGUGUAAUGGAUGAAAGUCCUUUAGCUGACCAGUACUAAUAGAGCGUUUGGCUUAUCUUUAAUAAAGCAU
rnacentral:rRNA from 1 species